rnacentral:lncRNA from 1 species
UUGCUUUCAAAAUCUUUCUGUUUAAACCCGUCGACCUGGAAGCUAUCAAUUAUUGGUAAUAUUAAUAAUUUGGAAAACAAAAGGGCCUGUAAUGGAAUAUUUUUUACUCAACAGUAUACAGCAAAAUUCUAAAUACACUGUUUGGUGGUGCGCCUGUCUGAUGCGGAACGUACAGAUAAGGUAAUAGGUAACAGGUGAAUAUACUAUUGGUAUCGGUGUCGGACUCGAUCCGGAACUUCAUAAUUAUUGGCAAUAUUAAUUACGUGGAAAACAAUCGGGCCUAGAGGGGUGUAAUUUUUAAUCAAC